rnacentral:rRNA from 1 species
AGUGAACGCUGGCGGUAGGCCUAACACAUGCAAGUCGAACGGCAGCACAGUAAGAGCUUGCUCUUACGGGUGGCGAGUGGCGGACGGGUGAGGAAUACAUCGGAAUCUACUUUUUCGUGGGGGAUACGGAGGGAAACUUAAGCUAAUACCGCAUACGACCUACGGGUGAAAGCAGGGGAUCUUUGGACCUUGCGCGGUUGAAUGAGCCGAUGUCGGAUUAGCUAGUUGGGGGGGUAAAGGCCCACCAAGGCGACGAUCCGUAGCUGGUCUGAGAGGAUGAUCAGCCACACUGGAACUGAGACACGGUCCAGACUCCUACGGGAGGCAGCAGUGGGGAAUAUUGGACAAUGGGCGCAAGCCUGAUCCAGCCAUACCGCGUGGGUGAAGAAGGCCUUCGGGUUGUAAAGCCCUUUUGUUGGGAAAGAAAAGCAGCAGGUUAAUACCCCGCUGUUCUGACGGUACCCAAAGAAUAAGCACCGGCUAACUUCGUG